rnacentral:lncRNA from 1 species
CGUUGGCCUGGAAACUUCUUCCAGGCUAAGCCUGAGUCUUCACCAGACACUGCAGCACGAAGGCCCUUCUGCCUUUUGGCUCGCCCUGGCCCAGAAUGCGCACCAGCCGGUAGAGAGGAGCUUCGGGCCGUUUAGCCCUGGGGCAAGAGAAAGAGGCCCACUGCAAUAUGCUGUGAAGAAUACAUAAGAAGUCAAACUGUUGACCUCUUUUCCCCAGCCCGUUCCAAAACUACAUCCCUGAGGAGUUGUGCACCUCUACGGAAAGUUCAGAUGAAAGAGCUAAUUCCCCUUGAUCUCUCUUCUUGUUCAGAGUGGAGGAAAAACAUAUACCAUCCCUUCCAUCAAUCCUCAGCAUAACUUUGCCAGGGACACUGGUAACAAGCUACUUUUACCUCAGAAGUUGGAGAGUAUCACUUGACCCACAUUGUGUAUGUGUAAAUAUCUUUAUUCAGUGUAUAUACAAUAUAUUCUUAAUUUGACUCUCAAA